rnacentral:RNase_P_RNA from 1 species
CGCGUGCCAUUGUGCCGUAAGGUAUUGGCAUGAGGAAAGUCCGGGCAUCACAGAGCAGGAUAACGGAUAACGUCCGCCGAAGGAGACUUCCGGGAAAGUGCAACAGAAAUAGACUACCAGCAUUAUGUUGGUACAGGUGGAAAGGCGAGGUAAAAGCUCACCGGCAUGACAGGUAACUGUGUGCAAAUGUAAACCCUAUCCGAUGCAACACCUCUAAUGUGUAAUGGCCUAAAAAGUCAGGAUAUUUGCUCGAUAUAAUCACGAGAGGUGGCUGGAUGUAUGCGGCAACGCAUAUACAAGAUGGAUGAUGAUUGCCUAUGUUAUAGGUACAGAACCCGGCUUACAAACCUACC